GUCCUAGCCCUAAACGAUCAGGACUUGGGGUGCCGCACGUUCGUGCGUCGUCCCGGAGCUAACGCGUUAAGUCCUGCACCUGGGGAGUACGGUCGCAAGACUGAAACUCAAAGGAAUUGACGGGGGCCCGCACAAGCGGUGGAACAUGUGGUUCAAUUCGACGCUACGCGAGGAACCUUACCUGGGCUCGAAAUGCUUCUGACCAGCUGUAGAAAUACGGCCUUCCCGCAAGGGACAGGAGUAUAGGCGCUGCAUGGCUGUCGU
rnacentral:rRNA from 1 species